AAACGGUCGGGUGUUCUCCGAGAGUAUCGAAACAUUUUCGAACGACGAGUAUCGAAGACGUGUUCCGUUCAACAUAUGCGAAGCUUCGAAAUUGAAGAAAAUCAACCCGUUCGUCUCAACAACAAUCAAGUAACAAAGUAUGUUUGUUUGCGUCUUUCUAAUCGUGAAUUUAACAAAGACCCAAGAAGAAAGUGUUAUCGAAUCGAUUCACGUUUCUUUUACUUGCAUAGACCUCACGGAAACGGAGGGUAUCCUAAUAUAAUAGAUGCCUAAAUUGACGACGACGCGCCAUCGCGACGAAAGAAAAGAUCACGGAACAGAACAGAGAGAAUACAUCGAAAGAUAAAGAUGCCAGUACACUGGCCUACUACCUACAGCCCUUUGGCGUAGAUUGCGUUAAAUCGAUCAAAUGGACCCGCAUGAGAAAAUGGACCAUGGACGUAUUCACGAGACAACGAUGGCAACGUUUAUCACGAAAUGACCAAACUAUUUCGAUGCGCAGGCUACUAACGGCUACUCGUGUAUCGUGUAUCGUGAAUCGGUGGAUCGGUGGAUCGGUGAAUCGGUGGAUCGGUGGAUCGGUGGAUCGUGGAUCGUGGAUCGUGGGCUGUACUGUGAAGCGCAUUCGGUGGCAUAGGGGAGCGCUGCGCUGCAUGCACGCAUUAAUCAACGAGCUGUCCUUUUCCUCCAUUAAACUCUGUAGCUGUACGACCAGCGUCAUUCUUUGUCAAUUUGCACGGCGGACCUCCUCGCGGGUCCUUCGACCAAUUAUUUCUUUGACGAACGACAAUGUUUCCAUCCUCGUUGUUUGGUAAUCGUUGCCGCUGGUACAUAGAUAUGUCAGUCCCUGACCAUAAAAAAACGACCGAAAAUGUUGAACGUCGGCGUCGGUGAUUCACGCGACGACCAACCCACUACUUACAAUUACUUUUCACUGAUAAAUCUAUUUUAGAUACUUUGUCUUGUGUGCUUCUUGUACGCAGCUUGCAUACGCGAUAAUAUUUACACUGGUAUAAUCGCAGAGGUCAAGGUAUGUAUGUACACGUACAUCGAUGUCUUAUCGUAGGCCGUUCUCAAAUUGUUCAAUUAUCAGGGCGCAUAUUUUAAAAACAGACUAUCCCAUCCUCCUUGACAAACCAUUAUACGAUUACGAUUACUUAAUCAAAUAUAGUAUUUAGUAACAAACGAUUCGAUAUAUUUGAUCCAAGACGAAUUAUCAAUUUUCGAGACAUGGGGCAUAUUACCUACCUUUCGACACUCUCUAUGCCGACAAUUUGUCCUAUUAAUUAAUUUACGAUUUACAUAUCUACAUAUACCGAUAUUAUUCUAUUCGAAAAUGAAAAUAACUAUGUAUCGCGUCCAUUUUAUCAGACAAAGCAAACGAAACUUGAGUUUAACGAAGAUAUUUUGGUUUGUGACCGUAACAAUGGGCGGAAAAGACACACGCUCGUUGCUACGCUUGCAAAUUAAACUAUCUACAUACAUACACACAUAUACGACGAUUUUUCUCUAAAGAACGAUAAAAAUGGCUCUGUUGUAGUAUGGAUUUCAAAGCUAAAUCCGAUAGAAAAUUGACACAAGAAGAGAUAAAGAGAACGCCUAUGGAAAAUUGGAACUUUAGUCUCACCGAGACCUACCUACAUAUAUAUUUCGGGUCAGAUUUCGAAUACCGCAGUCAGUAAUGAAUCGUUGAAGAGAAAAAAACUCGAGAAAAGCAACCUCGCCACUUCAAUUUACUAAUCUGUUUGCUAAGUAGUGGUGCCGUAGGUGAUGUUGUAAAAAUUCACCUCGACACGAUUACUUUUCACGCAGAGAUGGACCGUCUACGAUGUCUUCCAGAGGUGAAGAAAAUCUAAACGAAUACCUUUUCGAUAUUUUCAGAGGAAUAUCAGGUAAUCAAUUUUCUAUCGAGAGUCGCAUAGCAUUACUUUGCGAAUGGUUAAAGCUACGUUUAAGGAUGGUCUAUGACAUCGUGCGUUAAGGGUUAAAAUGGAUUAAAAAUUAUUUCUAAGAGAUAAAUAGGAAAAAAAUAGGAGACGAAAAAACAAAUUUUCAUCUGCAAAAUAUACAUAUACAUAUAUAGGUAUACAUAUUACACCGGAAGAAGAAUCUUUCGACCAAUCAACGUCAUGGACGCAUUAAUCGGCCAGGACCGCGAUUCUCAACUACAUACAUGCAAGUAAACAGAUACUACAUAGUCCUUCCAUUUUCUGGAAAUAUUUUCGACUUUAUUCUGUAACGUAUAUGCUUCUUAGAUUCUAGUUGAACGAUGAAAAGUAACAUUUUUCGACCGAACGGUUCGAUAGUCUCGUAGAUUGUUUCGCAUUAAAAAAAAAAAAAAAUUAGUUUUAGUGCUUGCAGUUUGAAGAAAAGUGCACACGAUAUUACUCAUUAAAACCAUGACUGUUCGUAUAUCAUGAUUUUGUUUCCAAGUAGAUUUCUGCGUUAGAUUUGCGUUUCCGUUUCGAAUCAAGCUUCGCAGCAUCCAUCCAAUCAAACAUGCGUACAUGCACAGAUAGAUAGAUAGGUAGACAUGUAUACGUAUAGACGGAUAGAUCGUCGGUAAUUCGAUCGGUAAGGGAAGGUUGAAAAGCACUGUCACAGAGAGAAUUCUAGCGGAUGGUUGUGUCGUCAGCCGCGCGAUUCAAAUCGUGCGCCAAGGCGAGGCAAUAAGGACUUGGACUGCCGGUGAAUGGUUUGAUAACAAGCGGUGGAAGGAAGGCAGCCAGGCAGGCAGGCAUAGGCAUAGGCAUAGGCAUAGGCAUAGGCAUAGGCAUAGGGGAGACGCAUAUUCCCCGUUGGUUGGCCGACCAUUCAGUGACGCGAUUCUUCACUGUCCGGGACUGAUUUCAAUUGGUAAAUUGAUUUGGAACGAUGACGAGAGAGAAAAAAGAAGAGAAAAAGAUGGUAUGAUUUAGAUUGGGCGAGAGAGGUUCGGGGGCCAUUGCGUGCAAAAGAUGACAAAGAAAGAGGCACACACCGCUGGCGUGACAGGGUGUACCGUGAGCGUCACACAGAGCAGAAAACGAUGGCGGUGGCAGUAGCAGUGCCUCUCUUGCGAACCGUUAAUAGGUACUGAACGCUGGUUGAAUGCUUAAUGCACCGUGCUUCUAGGAUUAAAUUGACCAAUCAUUUCCCGCGCGGCAAGGAGCGGCCAAUUACAGCGCUCGUCCGACUAUAUUAAGCCAAUCAAGAACAGUUUAUCGCUCAGUCGUCGGUCUGCUGCCGUUCUGUGGGUGUCGUGCGCGUGCGUGCCUCUUUUUCUAACAAUUCCAACUCGCGAAACAAACGAAUCGUGCGGGAAGAACAAAAUAGACUGUUUCAUGUUUCUCUGUCACAGUCACAGUCACAGUCACAGUCACACAAAUCAUUCGCAACGUUCACUGACGAUGUUUGAUGAUUCCAACAACGAUCUCGUCAAGUGAUAAGGUCGUGUAUUCCAUCUAUCCGCUUUCCAACGCCGCGGAUCUUCCCCUAACAUUUGAAAUCGCUCGAUUCGAUCGGAUCAACAUCGCACUAUUUCUUUAAAAUCAAAGGAAUUUCUCGCUGAUGGUGCUGUUGGACGAAUAAGAAGAAGAGAAAAAUUGUGAUACGGUUCAUCUUUUAUACCUAACAAAUUUAGUCAUUUUCAUACCUAGUGCUGACGUAUCGUAUUUCGAUACUCCGUGGUCACGUCUCGUGUGAUUGCUGUGGCGUUUCUCUCGUUAUCGAUUUUUCAUUCAACGAUCGAAUCUCGACAUAGCGGAAAGAAGAAUAUAAUACCGUCUUGCCGCACACGGUAGUGACAACAAGAGCGUUGUUAACGAUGUUAACCGAGAGAUUGUCACGUGUCUCGACCAAGUACAAAGAAUACGUGUAUCGAUUGUCGAACCAUCCAGCAGGGCUUAUUGGUAGCAAACAAAUCUACGAAACAGAUGCAACAAGUGUGAAUGCGAGUCGGCACGUUACAUCGUGUUUGAAAUUUCUCCAAGAGUGCCGCACAGAGGAAGAAAGAACGACGAAGGCUGCAGUAGUGGGCGACUUUAACGACUUCUCGAGGUCGCAUCAAUGAGCCACCACUAUGUGUCAUCGCAUCGUUAUAAUAUCGUAUACCUACGAUAUACAUAUACUAUUUUCCUAUUGUUUUCCAACCAACUCACCGAUUCAAACUUUUCAGUUACUUUCUCGAAAAUUGUUAAAUAUGUAUACGAACGAGAUAAAGUUAAACCGAUUUCUUUUACAGGACGUUAUCACGUAAAUGGGCUAAUUUAAUCGACUCGAUAUUUUUAUCCGUCUUGUGAAACGAUUUUAGAGCGUACACGCAGCGAAUGCGUCACGCGAUAUCAAUGGACAACGGUAUUCUUCUGCCGAUUAUCUAAUCUCACGUUAAAUUAUACCGAAACACGGACGAGUUAUAUUAACAUUUCCUACCAUCUCUUUAAUUAUCUAUGUAUUACUUGUCGCGUAUUCGAUUCUCUUUCGGUACAACGAUGCGUCCCCGUCCCCGUCCCCGUCCCCGUCCCCGUCCCCGUUGUAGCGUGUGUGUUGUUCCUUGUUACUUUCCUUGUAUAAUAAAAUGCUGCUGCAUUUGUUGAUGUCAUUGUAUUUUGCAAUCUCGGCAAAAUGUUAACAUUUAUUAUUCAUAUAAUUCAUAUAGUUUACGGCGAUUAAUAAUUAUGUACGACUGUUGCGUUUUACAGAAAUCAAGCAUCUGUAUAGGAAUCGAUUAAUCGACAGCACACGGAGGGAUUACGAUGAAAUCGGAAAUAAAUCCUGUCCUGUUCCUAAGUACUAGUGCCGCAGGAGUGAUUAGGUUGGGUUAGAAAUUACCAUAUCUCCUGCUGCUCAAGUGCUUAUCAAUGGGUCGGGACGCACAUCUACCUCCUCCUUCCUCAACUUUCUACGCAAAGCUCGAAUUUCUCGAAAUGUAUGAUAAAUUUAUAUUACGCGUUACUUUCCUAAUACUAUCGUUUUCAUUAUCUAUUCAUCAUUGACAGUGUAAUUGAAAAUAUAUUUACGUAAUAAACGUACCUAUAUAACGAAAUGUACUUCCUCGCAUUUUAAAUUAAACUUUUCUAUUAAUUUUUUACAAUACGUGAUGUACUUAUACUGUUAUUUAUAGUUUUACAAAACAAAAAAAUUGUAAAAAAUAAUUUAGUUGGAGGAGCUGGGAUUUGAACCCAGGACUUUCAGCAUGCGAAGCAGACACUCUACCACUGAGUUACACCCCCGGUUAAACAUCCCGCCUUUCAUCUUCUACAUAUGUCCGAGUAUGUAAUUUCGAGUGUGCACAAAAGCAAUAACAAAAUUACCUCAUCUCGUUCUUCGUUAAAUACAUCCUAUUCUAAUAAUUCCCAAUACGUUAAAUUAAUUUUACCCUCGGCUGUCUAAAGUUCCACGACAAUUCUAAUGCAAAGU